UACGUAGGGCGCGAGCGUUGUCCGGAAUUACUGGGCGUAAAGAGUGUGUAGGCGGUGCUCUAAGUUUGGUGUGAAAUCUCCCGGCUCAACUGGGAGGGUGCAUCGAAAACUGGAGUGCUCGAGGGUGGGAGAGGUAAGCGGAAUUCCUGGUGUAGCGGUGAAAUGCGUAGAUAUCAGGAGGAACACCUGUGGUGUAGACAGCUUACUGGACCACUUCUGACGCUGAGACACGAAAGCGUGGGUAGCAAACAGG
rnacentral:rRNA from 1 species